rnacentral:lncRNA from 1 species
AUGCAGCUUCUAAUGGCGUAUAUAUACGAAAGAAUAAUUUUAACUCCGCAAUUCUCUGCAUGAAUAUAAAUAGUCACUUUGUCUUGGGGGACGAGCAACCGCAGAGGUAGCUCCAAAUGCUCUUCUUCACGCGGUUACGCUUUGCCAUCGCCCUUCACCCAAGAGCUCGAUCGCACUACAGCUCAAAAGAUGUUCCUGAAAAUAACAAAAUCAUAUUAUUAGCUACGACGUACCCUCAGACAGCUUAAUGACUUUGCUCACUGUGCAAAUAACAAAUGACCUAUAUAUAUAUAUAUAUGUCAUUAUAUAUAUAUCUAUAGUAGGCGAUGAGAUACAAGAGUGAGAGACCUACACAAUUAAUUAAAAUAUAUAGAAGCAUACAUGUGCCUGCUGCAGCUGCAUGCGCCUCUUCAGAUCGAUAAAGACUGCACAUACCUGAAACAGAAGCUCGUCCUCUG